UACGGAGGGUGCGAGCGUUGUCCGGAAUCAUUGGGCGUAAAGCGCACGUAGGCGGUGGGGUAAGUCUUGUGGUGAAAGGCCGGGGCUCAACCCCGGGCAGGCCCGAGAGACUGCCCUGCUGGAGACAGGCAGAGGCCAGCGGAAUUCCGGGUGUAGCGGUGGAAUGCGUAGAGAUCCGGAAGAACACCGGUGGCGAAGGCGGCCUGCUGGGCAGUUUGGCUGACACUGAGGCGCGACAGCGUGGGGAGCAAACAGG
rnacentral:rRNA from 1 species